UACGUAGGGUGCAAGCGUUAAUCGGAAUUACUGGGCGUAAAGCAUGCGCAGGCGGUUAUGCAAGACAGAGGUGAAAUCCCCGGGCUCAACCUGGGAACUGCCUUUGUGACUGCAUAGCUAGAGUACGGUAGAGGGGGAUGGAAUUCCGCGUGUAGCAGUGAAAUGCGUAGAGAUGUGGAGGAACACCGAUGGCGAAGGCAGCCCCCUGGGUCAACACUGACGCUCAGGCACGAAAGCGUGGGGAGCAAACAGG
rnacentral:rRNA from 1 species